CUGGAAGGGGACGAGGGAUGGAGGUGACAGCUCCUGUAACUUGAGCAGCCCCUUGCUUUGAGGGGAGGAGGAAAAGGCCACAACAGCAAAGAUGAUAGAACAUCUGGAAUGGCUAACCCUGGCUAAUCCUGACAGUCAAAGAUGAAAGUGAAAAUGUUGGACUGCACCUUAAUAUCAAGAAAACAAAGAUAAAGACAACUGCAGAGAGAACACAGGUCAGAGUGCAGCUGGACAAUGAGAAAUAGUAAAGGACUUCAUCUUCCUAGGCUCUAAAACUGAUCAACGUGGUGAUUGCAUCCAUGAGAUCAGAAGGUGUAAGACAGUUGGAAGAAUUGCAAUGUCUGCAUGAAUAACAUCUGGAAGAGUAAAGAUAAAGAACAAGUGCAUUA